rnacentral:lncRNA from 1 species
AACGCAAGAAGGCUUGAGCGGGAAAAGUCCCCCUCCUUCACAGUUUCAAUUAAAAAGAAAUAAGAGAUCGGGAGUUCCCUUCGUGGCGUAGUGGUUAACGAACCCAACUAGGAACCAUGAGGUUUCGGGUUCGAUCCCUGACCUCGCUCAGUGGGUUAAGGACCCGGCGUUGCCAUGAGCUGUGGUGUAGGUCGCAGACACGGCUCGGAUCCUGCAUUGCUAUGGCUCUGGCAUAGGCCGGUGGCUGCAGCUGCGAUUCCACCCCUAGCCUGGGAACCUCCAUAUGCCACAGGAAGUGGCCCUAGAAAAAGGCAAAAAGACCAAAAUAAAUAAAUAAAUAAAUAAAAGAAAUGAGAUCAAAAAAAUUGUGACCUCUGUGGAAGAACAGAAUUUCACAAUGAAAUAUCUGUAUUCAGGCUCUUUUUGAAAGACCGUUGAUAACGGGCAGCCCAGAUUCUGCAUCCUGUCAAGCACCAGGCCUCCAUCCAACGGUGGCUGACUCCUUUGGAUGGAUAUGGCUCCUCCCUUCUUGCUAUUUGCCGCAUUUUACAAGCGGACCUGACCCUGUAGGCAUUUAUGUUUGCUACUCUUGUAGAGGUCUCUCGCCGGGUUGUCGGAGCCAUUGACUGAUUCAUUCAUGUGUGCAAUAGUUUGGAACCCUGAUCUGCGUGGCAGGCAUGGUGCCAGAUGGAGGAGAUAUAAUGGUGGCCAAGACAGGUGUCACCCCUCUCCUCGUGGAUCCCCCAGUGUCCUGGGGAAGCUCGAUAUGAAAAGAUGAUGCAACUCAUGUGACGUACAAGGGCCACAAAGGCAAAUUGUAUUAUUAAAAUAAAGCACCAUUUGGCUUAGAUGUUUAACUUGUCACUAAGCCACCAAAAUGUCUCAGAAGACAGCACGUUUUCUUCACUUUCCCAAAAGACUGUCACGGGUGACACCGAGGAGAGCUUUGCUAAGGUGCACAUAUGCAUGCCCUGUCACUCUUCUCUUGUCCACCCCAUUAGCAACUGUCCAAGAGCAAACCACACCAAGCGAAACACACACACAGAGAAAAUGAGGUUCAUCUGCUAUGUCUCACACUCCUUAUGCUGGCUCUUCUGUCUGCAGAAUCCACCAUUUCUCCCCCCCCCCACAACCUUUUUGGGUCUGAAAAGAACAUUUCAUGCGGGAUCCACGUUAAAAACACGAUUCUGGGGCGUUCCCAUUGUGGCUCAGUGGUAAUGAACUCGACUAGGAUCCAUGAGGAUGUGGGUUCGAUCCCUGGCCUCACUCAGUGGGUUAAGGAUCUGGUGUUGCCAUGAGCGGUGGUGUAGGUCGCAGAUGUGUCUCAGAUCCCACUGUGGUGUAGGUCAGUAGCUAUAGCUCCAAUUGGACCCCUAGCCUGGACCCCUAGCAAUUGGACCCAGGCUAUGGGUCUGGUCCUAAAAAGACAUACGUAAAUAAAUAAAUAUAAAAAUAAGAUUCUGAGUUCCCGUUGUGGUGCAGUGGUUAAUGAAUCUGACUAGGAAACAUGAGGUUGUGGGUUCGAUCCCUGGCCUUGCUUAGUGGGUUAAGGAUCCAGCGUUGCUGUGAGCUGUGGUGUAGGUUGUAGAUGCGGCUUGGUUCUGACGUUGCUGUGGCUGGUGUAGGCUGGCAGCAACAGUUCCGAUUGGACCCCUAGCCUGGGAACCUCCAUAUGCU